rnacentral:tRNA from 1 species
CAGAAAAUAGUUUAUUAAAAUAUUAAUUUUGGAGAUUAAUGAAAAGUAAUUGUUACUUUUUUCUGA